UUGUGCUUUUGGAAUGGUGGUUGAGGUGUUUAUUUGUUUCUGUUUUAGUUGAUUGCUUUCUUUGGGGGUGCUUAGCCUAUGAUAGAAUGGGCUUUUUGGUGUCAACAUAGUUGGGAUGAUCUAGCCUAUUGUGAUGCUUUUUGCACCCUCCCCUCUUUAUUAAUGUUUAGAUAUUUUUGUGUGUACAUCUUGUACCUUUCAUCGUUAUCAAUAAAGUUUUAUUUAUUUUGCCGAUCAAAAAAAAUAAAAUACAAUAAAAAAAACAAUAUCAAAACAGGAAGUGCUUUUUUUAUUUGCAAGUGGUGAAGCUGGGAUAAGAAGUAUGAUAACUUGACAGCUGUCAGUGUUCAAUAAAGUGAAGGACCUUGCGUAUUGUAGCAUGAUCAUAUUUACACCAUUAUUAUUCCUUCACCAUGCUUGCUUCAACUAUAUUAGUGGUUGUUUGCCAGGUAUUGGAUACAGCUUAGACCUUACUGUUCUAUCAAUUUAUUGGUAUGCAAAUUCCUUUUUUCUUUCCCCCUCUUUUUACUUCAAAUUAUCAUUCACAUGUGUUAUUUCUUUCAUAUUAUUGCUUGUGCUAGCCCUGGGAUUUAGUGGCAAAGAAAAUUCUAGGGUAUCGCUUCUAUGUUUUUUCAAAUAUUCAACCACAAUUCUAAUUUGAACUUCAUCAAAUUUCUAGAUCCUUUUCAUGAGGUGAAGACCAAACGAGAAAAGAAAAAAGGGGGGUGUGGCUGUGAAAAAUGCUGAAAAUCUCUGAUUUGUAUUUUGGAUAGUUGACUUUCCCCUUUUAGAGCUUGGUCAUGUAUGACUAAUGCUUUCUACCGUUCCGGUCCUACCGGAUCUGAUGAAAUUGUGGCCUUUUUGUUUUUUGAUUUCUCUGCUGUUUUCCCUAAUGUCAUAACAUGAGAUUAGGAUGACCACGUGUUUUACUAUGCACAAGGGACUUGGAUAUUUUUUCCUGCUUCUGGUGGAAUAGGAAUAAGGAUAUAACAGAAUCCAGGUCACAUGGCUUUAGUAACUCUUCAAGUCGUGGGAGUUAGGGGUGGCACUGAUCAUUAUGUUGGAUGAGGUGGCUCAACCCAAUUCAGCACUUCUGAGUCUGGAGUUUUACUUGGUAAACCUUCAUACAAGAAGGAAAAUGGAACAAAUAAUUACACAAGUGCUUCAUCUUUAGCAUCUGAAAUGGCAGGAAAUAAUAUGAAUCGGUGACCCCCAGCCCACAGGUACUUCUUUGAGACAGGUUGUGGAGGUUUAUGAUUCUGAUAUACAAAUGUGCACUGGAUAAGUUGCGGAUAUCUAACCAAUUUGUACUCUUCUUUGUGUUGGAAGCUUGGAGUAAAUCUGAACCUUUUAGCAUUAGCUUUUCUUUGGGCUGUUGGUUGCAAAGCAAGAAAAAGGCUUCAAGAUAGACCAUGGCAAAUGGG